UACGAAGGGGGCUAGCGUUGUUCGGAUUUACUGGGCGUAAAGCGCACGUAGGCGGAUCUUUAAGUCAGAGGUGAAAUCCCAAGGCUCAACCUUGGAACUGCCUUUGAUACUGGGGAUCUUGAGUCCGGGAGAGGUGAGUGGAACUGCGAGUGUAGAGGUGAAAUUCGUAGAUAUUCGCAAGAACACCAGUGGCGAAGGCGGCCGACUGGUCCGGUUCUGACGCUGAGGCGCGAAAGCGUGGGGAGCAAACAGG
rnacentral:rRNA from 1 species